rnacentral:rRNA from 1 species
GACGAACGCUGGCGGCGUGCCUAAUACAUGCAAGUAGAACGCACAGUUUAUACCGUAGCUUGCUACACCAUAGACUGUGAGUUGCGAACGGGUGAGUAACGCGUAGGUAACCUGCCUGGUAGCGGGGGAUAACUAUUGGAAACGAUAGCUAAUACCGCACAAUAUUAAUUAUUGCAUGAUAAUUAAUUGAAAGGUGCAAUUGCACCACUACCAGAUGGACCUGCGUUGUAUUAGCUAGUAGGUGAGGUAACGGCUCACCUAGGCGACGAUACAUAGCCGACCUGAGAGGGUGAUCGGCCACACUGGGACUGAGACACGGCCCAGACUCCUACGGGAGGCAGCAGUAGGGAAUCUUCGGCAAUGGACGAAAGUCUGACCGAGCAACGCCGCGGGAGUGAAGAAGGUUUUCGGAUCGUAAAGCUCUGUUGUAAGAGAAGAACGGGUGUGAGAGUGGAAAGUUCACACUGUGACGGUAGCUUACCAGAAAGGGACGGCUAACUACGUG